AACCUCCGCAAUGUGAGAAAUCGCGACGGGGGGAUCCCAAGUGCCAUUCCUAACGGGGAUGGCUUUUCAUUAGUGUAAAGAGCUUUUGGAAUAAGGGCUGGGCAAGACCAGUGCCAGCCGCCGCGGUAACACCGGCCAGCUCUAGUGGUAGCAGUUUUUAUUGGGCCUAAAGCGUCCGUAGCCGGUUUAAUAAGUCUCUGGUGAAAUCCUGUAGCUUAACUGUGGGAAUUGCUGGAGAUACUAUUAGACUUGAGACCGGGAGAGGUUAGAGGUACUCCCAGGGUAGAGGUGAAAUUCUGUAAUCCUGGGAGGACCGCCUGUUGCGAAGGCGUCUAACUGGAACGGUUCUGACGGUGAGGGACGAAAGUUAGGGGCGCGAACCGGGAUUAGAUACCCGGGUAGUCCUAACUGUAAACGAUGCGGACUUGGUGUUGGGGUGGCUUUGAGCUGCUCCAGUGCCGAAGGGAAGCUGUUAAGUCCGCCGCCUGGGAAGUACGGUCGCAAGACUGAAACUUAAAGGAAUU
rnacentral:rRNA from 1 species